GCCUCUGUGGAUUAUGAUGGAUCACCUCGGAAAUUUUAUAAAUCUGUGAAUAAAUAUCCGAGGAGCAGUGGGUUCAAAUCCCACCAGAGGCA